GUUGCUUUUCUGUCCCUGAGGUCUGGGGAGACUGUGACUUGAAUGUGAAUUCUUCAAAGUUACUCUAUGCUGUGUCCCUGAAUGGGGUCAGGUCUCAGC
ensembl:miRNA